GCGCGCCAACGUUCAAGCCAGUUUCUGGCGCCGACACUUAACAUGGUCAGUUAAAUCAGUAACGAUUCAGAGCGCGGCAAGUGAGCAACACAAGUUUCGCAAAAACCAUUGAUACGCAGGCGCAAAGUAUUAAACGAGAGCGGUCGGACAAUCGGACAAGUGAAAGAGUGGCGAAGCAAAUCAUUGUGCCACCAGUAGUCGUGCAAAUAUUAAUGUGGGUGCAUACACACACACACACACACAUACGCACACACAUACGCACGCAUUAGGUCACUGUCAUACAACAAAGCCCAAACGAAGCAUUGACCACAAAAAAUAUAUAACAGAAAUAAAUUUUCGAUGCUGAAGAAAUCAUAAAGGCAAAGUGUGUGCAAAAGCCGUAGCGAGUGUUGAAUGUCAAACAAUACUAAGUAGGCAAA